rnacentral:rRNA from 1 species
UACGGGGGGAGCAAGCGUUGUUCGGAUUUACUGGGCGUAAAGGGCGCGUAGGCGGCCACCGCAAGUCAAUUGUGAAAUCUCCGGGCUUAACUCGGAAAGGUCAACUGAUACUGCGGGGCUAGAGUGCGGAAGGGGCAACUGGAAUUCUCGGUGUAGCGGUGAAAUGCGUAGAUAUCGAGAGGAACACCUGCGGCGAAGGCGGGUUGCUGGGCCGACACUGACGCUGAGGCGCGAAAGCUAGGGGAGCAAACA